GACGAACCGUGCGAACGUUAUUCGGAAUCACUGGGCUUAAAGCGCGUGUAGGCGGGCGGCACGUCGGUCGCUGAAAUCCCCGGCUCAACCGGGAACGGGCGCCGAUACGACCGCCCUCGAGGACGUAGGGGACCUGGAACUUCCGGUGGAGCGGUGAAAUGCGUUGAGAUCGGAAGGAACGCCCGUGGCGAAAGCGAGGUCCUGGACGUCUUCUGACGCUGAGACGCGAAAGCCAGGGAGCGAACGGG
rnacentral:rRNA from 1 species